ACGAACGCUGGCGGCGUGCUUAACACAUGCAAGUCGAACGGGCCCGCCCCUGUUUUUGGGGGUGGGUUGAGUGGCGAACGGGUGAGUAUCACGUGAGUAACCUGCCCCCUGCUCCUGGAUAACUGCUUGAAAGGGCGGCUAAUACGGGGUGUGCCGGCUGGUCCGCAUGGGCCUGGUCGGGAUAGUUUCAUCUUCGGGUGUUUCGGUGGGGGAUGGGCUCGCGGCCUAUCAGCUUGUUGGUGGGGUGAUGGCCCACCAAGGCGGUGACGGGUAGCCGGCCUGAGAGGGUGGGCGGCCACACUGGGACUGAGACACGGCCCAGACGCCUGCGGGAGGCAGCAGUGGGGGGUAUUGCGCAAUGGGCGGAAGCCUGAUGCAGCGACGUCGCGUGAGGGAUGGAGGCCUUCGGGUUGUGAACCUCUUUCUCCGGUGGUGAAGGCCCUGUCCGUUGCGGCGGGGUUGACGGUAGCCGGGUAUGAAGCGCCGGCUAACUACGUG
rnacentral:rRNA from 1 species